rnacentral:rRNA from 1 species
CCUACGGGAGGCAGCAGUAAGGGAUAUUGGUCAAUGGGGGAAACCCUGAACCAGCAACGCCGCGUGAGGGAAGACGGUUCUCGGAGUGGAAACCUCCGUCCUCUGGGAAGAUCAUGACGGUACCAGAGGAGGAAGCUCCGGGUAACUACGUUCCAGCAGCGCCGGUACUACGUCGGGAGCGAGCGUUGUCCGGAUUUACUGGGUGUAAUGGGUGCGUAGGGGGGUUGGCAAGUCAGUAGUGAAAUCCAUGGGCUUAACCCAUGAACUGCUAUUGAAACUGUCGAGCUUGAGUGACGUAGAGGUAGGCGGAAUUCCCGGUGUAGCGGUGAAAUGCGUAGAGAUCGGGAGGAACACCAGUGGCUAAGGCGGCCUACUGGGCUUUAACUGACGCUGAGGCACGAAAGCGUGGGUAGCAAACAGGAUUAGAUACCCUAGUAGUC